UGUCAGUCUUUCUCUCUUUUUCUCACACACAAACGAUGCACUACUCUCUGUCUUGGAAUUUUACAUUUUGAUGAAGGAGGAAGCGCGUUGACCAAUCAGAGCGGCUGGAGCAGGAGCAGACCAUCGCGGCUCAGACAGCAGGGGGGUUCGGGGUCGGCUCGGCAGGCCGGCGUCAGCGUCCUACCCGCCUUCCCCGCAGCUCCGUGUCCCCUCGCGUCACGGCGGUGGGUGGUACGGCCCGGCAGGCUGGAUAAAAAACCCCUCCUCUCCCUCUGGUCUCUCUGCCCCCCCCCACCCCUCGUUCUGACAGUGGUAGGGUGUAGCUACAGAUGCUGUACUACAGCAGAAGACAGUGAGAGUGGAAGGGAGGAGGGACAUCAGGUGUCACAGCGCUUCAACCAGGCUCAUUUCCACGACAACCAGCUCCAGAGGUGCCACCAGCACCUGCUCCUCCGCUCCACCGGCCAUCCCGCCACCCACCCACCCAUCCGUCCACCCAUCCAUCCAGCUGGCCGGGCCACCUGCAGGAGUCAUCAGGGUUAGUGCUCCUCUGGCACGUCUGCGCACCACAAGCGUCUGCAAACCUCUUACUGCAACCUGUAAAUUUAUUGAUGUGCACUUAUAGACCAUCAAAUAACUUUACAGGAAAUUAAACAUAAAAAGUAAAAGUGCAGACGUCUAUGAAACUGCUGAAGCCUGAGAGGUAGGCCAUCUUUCUUUCAGCCUCCUUCCUGGACAUCCUCACAUCUUCCCUCUCUGCUAAAUUUAGCAUCAAAGUGGAUUCAAGUGAAGCUCCGGUGUUUCGGUUAGAAUUCCAGAAAUGCAGGAGCUUCCAUUUCCUAUCACAGCUGAAGUAAAUCAGCUCUCAGGCCUCAUCGUAGCCGUGUGUAUCUGAACGCUGGGUCAGGCCCGCACAGGGGCGGCGUGGUCAUCCGGGGACGCAUAGUGAGCAGAAAUGGGGCGCAGCGGCGCUCAGCCAGGGAAGGGUGGGUCCAUGCACUCUCUAAAUCAUCACGUGCGUGAAUUAAGAGGCAGUAAAGCAGCUCCGAUCCCCAGCCUUUCCAAAAGAAAGAUUAUUUUCAUAGCAGAGGAACCGUGUAGAUUUUACAGAAUCUAUUAGCGUCAGGUCAUUCCUGGACUAUCAGGAGCCACCAAAACCCAUUUAAAAGAGAGUCAUUGCACCAGCGGCCGUUCGGAGGGAAGCCCCCGAAGGAACAUAAAGUUAGAAAUGUCAGGGUGUCGUCUUGUUUUCUUAACUCACUUAAUGGGAUUGGAGUGCACUCCUGAGAGCGUACUUGUUUUUGCAACCACAUUGUGUUUUUUCAGUUUUUGCUAAACUAAAUCUUUAGAAAGUGUGUCCUUUGUUUUAAGCAAAAUUGUCUUAAUUUCUGUCUUGCAAGAUUCACUACUGAAAAACCUUUUAACA
rnacentral:lncRNA from 1 species